rnacentral:rRNA from 1 species
UAGGGAACCUUCCGCAAUGGGCGAAAGCUUGACGGAGCAACGCCGCGUGAGUGAUGAAGGUCUUCGGAUCGUAAAACUCUGUUAUUAGGGAAGAACAAAUGUGUAAGUAACUAUGCACGUCUUGACGGUACCUAAUCAGAAAGCCACGGCUAACUACGUGCCAGCAGCCGCGGUAAUACGUAGGUGGCAAGCGUUAUCCGGAAUUAUUGGGCGUAAAGCGCGCGUAGGCGGUUUUUUAAGUCUGAUGUGAAAGCCCACGGCUCAACCGUGGAGGGUCAUUGGAAACUGGAAAACUUGAGUGCAGAAGAGGAAAGUGGAAUUCCAUGUGUAGCGGUGAAAUGCGCAGAGAUAUGGAGGAACACCAGUGGCGAAGGCGACUUUCUGGUCUGUAACUGACGCUGAUGUGCGAAAGCGUGGGGAUCAAACAGG